ACCGCGUGAGGGAAGACGGCCUAUGGGUUGUAAACCUCUUUUUUCAGGGAGGANUNAAAUGACGUGUACCUGAAGAAUAAGCAUCGGCUAACUCCGUGCCAGCAGCCGCGGUAAGACGGAGGAUGCAAGUGUUAUCCGGAAUCACUGGGCGUAAAGCGUCUGUAGGUGGUUUAAUAAGUCAACUGUUAAAUCUUGAGGCUCAACCUCAAAAUCGCAGUCGAAACUAUUAGACUAGAGUAUAGUAGGGGUAAAGGGAAUUUCCAGUGGAGCGGUGAAAUGCGUAGAGAUUGGAAAGAACACCGAUGGCGAAGGCACUUUACUGGGCUAUUACUAACACUCAGAGACGAAAGCUAGGGUAGCAAAUGGGAUUAGAUACCCCAGUAGUCCUAGCCGUAAACAAUGGAUACUAGAUGUUGAACAGAUCGACCUGUGCAGUAUCAAAGCUAACGCGUUAA
rnacentral:rRNA from 1 species